GACGAACGCUGGCGGCGCGCCUAACACAUGCAAGUCGAACGAGCGAGAGAGAGCUUGCUUUCUCGAGCGAGUGGCGAACGGGUGAGUAACGCGUGAGGAACCUGCCUCAAAGAGGGGGACAACAGUUGGAAACGACUGCUAAUACCGCAUAAGCCCACGGGUCGGCAUCGACCAGAGGGAAAAGGAGCAAUCCGCUUUGAGAUGGCCUCGCGUCCGAUUAGCUAGUUGGUGAGGUAAUGGCCCACCAAGGCGACGAUCGGUAGCCGGACUGAGAGGUUGAACGGCCACAUUGGGACUGAGACACGGCCCAGACUCCUACGGGAGGCAGCAGUGGGGAAUAUUGCACAAUGGGGGAAACCCUGAUGCAGCGACGCCGCGUGGAGGAAGAAGGUCUUCGGAUUGUAAACUCCUGUUGUUGGGGAAGAUAAUGACGGUACCCAACAAGGAAGUGACGGCUAACUACGUGCCAGCAGCCGCGGUAAAACGUAGGUCACAAGCGUUGUCCGGAAUUACUGGGUGUAAAGGGAGCGCAGGCGGGAAGACAAGUUGGAAGUGAAAUCUAUGGGCUCAACCCAUAAACUGCUUUCAAAACUGUUUUUCUUGAGUAGUGCAGAGGUAGGCGGAAUUCCCGGUGUAGCGGUGGAAUGCGUAGAUAUCGGGAGGAACACCAGUGGCGAAGGCGGCCUACUGGGCACCAACUGACGCUGAGGCUCGAAAGUGUGGGUAGCAAACAGGAUUAGAUACCCUGGUAGUCCACACCGUAAACGAUGAUUACUAGGUGUUGGAGGAUUGACCCCUUCAGUGCCGCAGUUAACACAAUAAGUAAUCCACCUGGGGAGUACGACCGCAAGGUUGAAACUCAAAGGAAUUGACGGGGGCCCGCACAAGCAGUGGAGUAUGUGGUUUAAUUCGACGCAACGCGAAGAACCUUACCAAGUCUUGACAUCCCUUGACAGGCAUAGAAAUAUGUAAUCUCUUCGGAGCAAGGAGACAGGUGGUGCAUGGUUGUCGUCAGCUCGUGUCGUGAGAUGUUGGGUUAAGUCCCGCAACGAGCGCAACCCUUAUGGUCAGUUACUACGCAAGAGGACUCUGGCCAGACUGCCGUUGACAAAACGGAGGAAGGUGGGGAUGACGUCAAAUCAUCAUGCCCUUUAUGACUUGGGCUACACACGUACUACAAUGGCGUUAAACAAAGAGAAGCAAGACCGCGAGGUGGAGCAAAACUCAGAAACAACGUCCCAGUUCGGACUGCAGGCUGCAACUCGCCUGCACGAAGUCGGAAUUGCUAGUAAUCGUGGAUCAGCAUGCCACGGUGAAUACGUUCCCGGGCCU
rnacentral:rRNA from 1 species